rnacentral:lncRNA from 1 species
GUUUCUUGAAACUAACACUCGCCUCUCUCUUUCCCUUUUGGUGAAAUUUGUUUGUAGUCCAAACCCUAAAUUUUGAAAUCAAUCCAGCCUCUUCUCUCCAAAAGUCAGUUUCAAAGACCCGCGGAAAGAACUGCUUAUUCGCCACCAGUGAUUUCUGCUCGUUUCAUCCAGCGAUCGACGAAUUCUGAUCGUUUCAUACAGGUGAACGACGAAUUCUGCUCGCCUCAUCCAAGCCAGUGGCAGAGGCGAUAUUUUCUGCUGGUAAGUUCAAUCUUCGGUUUAUUGCAAGUUGUUCAUGAUUCCUAUGCUAAUUUCCAUGUACAAUUUGUAUAGGUGUUAUUGUACUUCUUUAUUGUGAAUGGGUUUGCAAGAUUUAGGUGCAGAUGAAAAGCUAUUGUUUUUGUUUGUUUUAUGAUCAAGUAUUCGAUAAAACUCCCCUAUGAAAGUUUUAGUAGUAGUAGUAACUAGUUAGCACCCUAAAAGAAACUUAGUUCAUGGAUUCAUAGUGGUAUAUUGGUAAUCAUCAACAUCGUGUGGCUUUUUAGUUUUCUGUUGUGUGUUGAUUUACAAUAUUACAUCAUAAUUGUGCAUUUAUCUUUCUUGUAUUGAUAAUUGAGAUGCCAUUAGAGAUUGUCCUUCUGUGCUCUUUUAUGCUCAUGAAAUUGUAUGUUUCUAUGAUGAAUUAAAAUAUAAAAAGAUUAUAUUGUGACCCAUCUUUUCAUUGUAUGACUAUUUUCAUGGGUUCUUUUAAGUUAGAUGGGACUGAAAUAACAACGGGUGAUAAUACAUAAAGGGCACAAAAGCUCAAACGCUACUCGUUAUCGGCUCGGUUAAAAGCUCGAACGAGCCAAGGCUCGAGCCUGAAAUAGAGCUCGUUUAGUGCACGAGCCCGAGCUCGAGCCAGAAAUACAAAGCUCGUCUAGGCUCGCGAGCCUAAAUGUGCCCAAACAAACUUUUUCUUGAGACAUAUGUGCAUUGUUAAGCUUAUUCAGUCUUAAAGUUACAAAUUUAUUGGUCAAAGCAGCCAUUAAACUGGUCAAUUUAUUUCUUUCUGAGGCAAUCAAACUUGUUUUUUUUUUUUUUUUGCAUUGAAAAUGAAAGCUUCGUCAAAUGGUUAUCCGGUAGAAGGUCGGCAAUUCUGUUCUUUAAUUCGCUGCUGCUGUUGCUAUUUGUGUUUAUAAACCAUAAGCUUAACAAAAGCUAUCCUCUCUCUGUAGCUUGUAACUGAUUUAUAAACCAAACUUUUUCAUCUUUAUCAGGUAAAAGUAAUAAUAAUUCAAAGUAGUGAUAAUUUUGUUAAAAAAGGAUAUGAUGAUCAAGGGUAUAGUGUACAUGAUUGCUACUUCCACAAGCAUAUUUCACCAAGUUCUUAUUUUUAUUUUUUCCCUUUCUAUAGUUAAAUGUCACUGUACCUUUUGAAUAGGCAGUUAGAUAUAUUCAAGAGUUUUUUGUACAAAUUGUAAUUGUCAGGUUCAAGGAAGGUAAAUUCUGGGCUGGGUUCAAGAAUGAGUUUUUUUUAAUAGCCUCUUUUCUUUUAUAUGCCUAACGUUAUAACUGAAAACCAGCUAUUAAACUGGUCAAAGCAGCUUCUUUUUAAUUCACCCCAUCAACCCAUUUUCUAAUAUUUUUCUCUAAAAACUUUAGUUUAUACACUCUUUUGUCACAAAAUAUAUUUUGGGGCUUUCUAUAUUUCACACUUUCAACAAAAUUCGCCUGUUAAAAACUACAGAACAAUUUUUUUUUUAGAUUUGUUUUUGAAUUUUUACAUUUUUUUGUGAUUUUUUUUUUAUUUUUAGAGGUUUUUUAUUAUAUUUUCUUAUAUGGAUCGAUCCGGAUAGUGAUCCAUCCAUAUCCAUCCAUUGACAGGCCUAGUUUACAGAAUAUGAUUAGGGAGCGAACAUAUGGUGUUAAGUUAAACAGGGUUUUUUAAUUAAAAAAAUAAAUGGUGACUAGGAUGGUGAUUGGGAUGACAUGUGGGAUAAAACUAACACCGGUUAGUUUUAAGUUAACUGGGACCAUUGGGAAAAUAUUUUAAAAAUGUGGGAUUAUUAUGUACCAAGAGUAAAGGUGGGAUUAUUGUGUACAAGAUUGUAAACGUGGGAUUAUUAAAAACAAAUUUCCUUAGUUUUUCUAUAAAAAUGUUAGCCUGCUAGUGUAAACCUUUAUUAAUUUUUUUUUGUAAUAUGAUUUUUUGCACUAUUAUGAGUAGAGUUUAAUAAAUAUUUGUUGAAAACUAAAACCUACGUCGGAGAUGAAGUUUUCCUCAAAAGCAUUCUAAACUCUACCGAGACUGUAGCAAGAGGAAGGGUCCAGAGCUUGGACCCAAAUGAUCUAGUUGGUGGUAUAGAGAUUGGACCAGAAUGGUGUGAGGUAAAUGUUCAAGUACCAAUAAAAAAAGAUGAAAACUUGGUAAGACCAUAUGUUUUAUUUUCUACAAUUCAAGAUUGUAUUGGUGCAUCCAUUGCAUGGCCCUAUCCAUUCAUCUCGGUAGUCCAUGAGGAUUGAGGACGCAUGAUGAUUCAAGAUUUUAUGCUUCUUAUUUCUUUAAUUGCUUUUAAUUUGUUUGUUAAAUGUUAAGACUUUAUAUUAGAUAAUGUUAUAACUUAUUUAUGGUUAGUGUUUUUGUUAU